GGGCGCUGUGUAAGGGAGGCUGGGCGCCGCUACCCUAGCGGGCGGCCUCUGCCAGGCGCGGCUAGCGGUCUUUUCUGCUGUGGUGGCAGUGACGAUUCGGGAGACGGGAGACGCAGGGUCGGAAAUGCGUGGUGGGCUGGGCCCGGCCUUGUGCAGAGUCCGGCAGCUGGGCCUGAGGCGUCCGAAUCAACCGUGGAGGAAAACGAAGAUGACAUCCAGUUUGUGAGUGAGAGACCAUCAAUACCUGUUCUUGAAUACAUUGAGCUGAUCUGUGGUGAUGAUAAAGAGCCUAGAACCUAUGGUAGUGAUAUUUUGUUCCCUAAGAUGACAAAAUGACAGGGUGAUUUUUUGCAUUUUUUAAAUGCGAAGAAGGUGAAAACAGAUACAGAAAGUAGCGAUAGUAAUAAGAACUAUUGUGGGUUGUCUAAGUCAAAGGAAUUGGAUUUCAAAUAUGCUGAACAACCAAUCAUUGAAGAAAAGCCAUCAUCUUCAUCAAAGGAAAAAAAUGGAUAAUCUUGUGCUUCCAGAUUGUUGGAAUGAAAAACAAGUGGUUAUGUUUACAGAACAGUACAAAUGGCUUGAAAUAAAAGAAGGUAAAUUAGGAUGUAAGGAUUACUCAACAGUUCAGCAUUUGGGAUUAAAAGCAGAAGAUCAUGUCCACAUGUCCAAGGAGUGGAUUGCACAUUUGGUAACCCCUAAUUGCAGUUAUAAAACUACUAGACAGGCUUCUCUGUGAAAAAAAUUAAGGAGCAUGAUGUUUCUAAAGCCCAUGGUAAAAUUCAGGAUUUGUUAAAGGACUCAAUUAAUGACUCAGUUUCUAAUUUAGUGCAUAAAUAAUGUAAUAAAAAUAUUGAUGCUACUGUAAAAGUUUUCAAGACGGUUUAUAGUUUAGUAAAAUAUAAUAGACCUUUGUCUGAUAUUGCAGAGGCAGUAGAAUUACAAGAAGAAAUGGGGUGAGAAUAGCAGAGCGUGUCGCAAAAGAAAUGAAGAUGACAAUAUUUAAGGAUAUUAUAGAAGAGAAGGCCAAAAUCUGUGUUACAGUUGAUGAGGCAUCCGCGGUUUCAAAGAAGAGGAUCCUCGUGAUUUAUGUCCAGUACACAGUAGAGUCAGCUCCUGCACCGGUUAUGUUGUUUGUUACUUUACAGGAACUGGUGUCAGCCACAGCAGAAUGUGUCUUCAAUACGUUAUUGAGCACUUCAAAUGAUUGUGGCUUCGCUAAUGAAUAUUUGAAAGCAAAUUUAAUUGCAUUUUGUCCUGAUGGUGCUAAUAUAAUGCUGGGUAGAAAGUCUGGAGUAGCCACAAAGUUGUGAGAAAAUUUUCCUGAAAUAAUUAUUUGGAACUGUUUAAACCAUCAGUUGCAUUUGUCACUUGAUGAUUCAAUAUCUGAAAUAAAACAAGUGAAUCAUUUAAAAAUACUUCUUGAUAAAAGUUGUUCCAAGUAUCAUCCGCCUAAUAAAAAUCAACACAAGCUUUUAGGGAAUGUACCUAAAGAUCUUGAAGUUGAAAUUCUUAAAAUUGGCCAGGUAAAGGGACCCAAGUAGGCAGCUUGUAGUCUACAACCAGCUACUGCUGUGUGGCAUGCAUAUCCUGUAUAUAUUUGCAUUUCUCUCAUUUGCAUUCUGGUUUGGCCAAGAGGUUAGCUAACGUUCCAAUUUCUUGUAAAACCUUGCUUUAAUGAUUGACAUUCUUGAAUAAUUUUGACUACUUUUAACUGCACUACAGUCAAGCUCAACUAACAUUCAGAAAGCACAAAAAUUGAUCAAAUGCACAAUAAAAACCUUGGAAAAUUUAAAAAUUGGUACUGGAAAGCAUGAAUCUCAAAUCGAAAGUUUGAUUAAAUCAGGUAAAUUUAAAGAUACUCCAUUUUGUAGAAAUAAUAAAUUUAAUGCCCUUCCUAGGAACAUGUUACUAGAAAAUGUAAUUCAACACAUGAACUUAUGUCUUUUAUCGAACAGGAAGCAUGAUGAAAGUAUUUUGAAUUAUUUUAAUUUGCUAGAACUUUCUACAUGGCCUUAUGAAGAAAUAACUUCACCAUGGAUAACUGGUGAAAAAAAAUUAUUUGUGUGAAAUUUUAAAAUUUGAAAUUGAUUUGAAUGAUUUUAGGGAAUUUGUAAAUAAUAAUAUAAAGUCAAACAAUAUUUCAGUUCCUAAAGCUAAUAGCACCAUUGUAGUCAGUACUGCUGAAGUAGUGCUGAAGCUGAAAGAGGUUUCCAUUUAAUGAACAUAAUUUGUACAAGGGUGAGAAACAGUUUAACUAUAGGUCAUAUAUCCGAUUUAAUGACAAUGAAUCUGUUGGAAAAAGAAUUAGCUGGUUGGGAUGCAACUGCCUUUGUAAAAUCCUGGUCAAACUGCAACCACAGGUUAGCUAUAGAUACGAGAGUUCAGCAAAAGUCAACAAGAGCCUAUGAGAAUCAGCUGGCUCUCUGGAACUUACAAUAAAGGGUAUUGUGUUGGAAUUCCCUUGUGGUCCAGUGGUUAGGACUCGGUGCUUUCACUGCUGUGGCCUUGGUUCAGUCCCUGGUAGGGAAACAAAGAUCCUGCAAGCUCGCCAGAAAUAGGAUUGUGUAUGAUUUGUUAUUUGUAAGUUAUGUGUUCUGCACACUAUAUAUACAUAAAUUUUUAUUUUGAAAGUCAGUUGUUAAACUUUUAUCCAUAUAUUGCUGUUUAAAGGCAUUCUCCAAAGGGAUUGUUUUUAGGAGCAGUGAUUGUUUUUAGGAGCAGUGGGUUUUUAGAGGUUGGCCCAUGUCUGCUAGAGUAGGCUGAAUAUGUAUUUCAUGGACUCUAUAAGAACAUCCAAUGAUUCCACUUUUGCUUUGUUUUACAUUUAGUAAGGAUAUAAUAGAGUAAUAUAACCCAGAUUACUUCUAAACCCUGAAAGUUAUAGCAAAUAAAAGAAAAAUAGAAUAAAAACUACAAUCCUUGUG